rnacentral:rRNA from 1 species
AUUGAACGCUGGCGGCAGGCCUAACACAUGCAAGUCGAGCGGCGCGGCGGACGGGUGAGUAAUACCUAGGAAUCUGCCUGGUAGUGGGGGAUCACGUUCGGAACCGGGCCCUAAUACCGCAUCCUAUCAGAUGAGCCUAUGUCGGAUGAGCUAGUGUGUGGGGUAAUGGCUCACCAAGGCGACGAUCCGUAACUGGUCUUAGAGUAUGAUCAGUCACACUGGAACUGAGAAACGGUCCAGACGCCUACGGGAGGCAGAAGGGGGGAAUAUUGGACAAUGGGCGAAAGCCUGAUGCAGCCAUGCCGCGUGUGUGAAGAAGGUCUUCGGAUUGUAAAGCACUGGAAGUGGGGAGGCGUUACCAACAGAAUAAGCACCGGCUAACUCCGUGACAGCAGCCGCGGUAAUAC